GGGGUUGUGGCUCAGUGGUAGAGUACUCACCUAGCACGUGAGAGGUGCUAGGUUCAAGGCUAAGCGCCACA
rnacentral:tRNA from 1 species